rnacentral:ncRNA from 2 species
AAAGAUACAAAGAGGUGCCAUUGGCUGAGAUGUGUUUACAAACUCUUAGAACCUGUUACGUUAAUACGUGCGUAGGAAUUGUAUGAAUAAUUGUC